rnacentral:rRNA from 1 species
AACCUGCCCUCAUCAGGGGGAUAGCCCGGAGAAAUCCGGAUUAAGACCGCAUGAAACCACAGCGCAGCAUUGCGCAAUGGUCAAAUAUUCAUAGGAUGGGGAUGGGCAUGCGUGUCAUUAGCUAGUUGGCGGGGUAACGGCCCACCAAGGCGACGAUGACUAGGGGAUCUGAGAGGAUGGCCCCCCACACUGGUACUGAGACACGGACCAGACUCCUACGGGAGGCAGCAGUAAGGAAUAUUGGUCAAUGGGCGGAAGCCUGAACCAGCCAUGCCGCGUGCAG